rnacentral:pre_miRNA from 14 species
UAUGGUAAGGUCCUAAAGACCCUCACCAAUCAUGACACUGAAGCGGGAAUGGAAGCGUAGUCAGAUUGCAAUUCCUACCGGGUUCAGUGUCAUACUUGGUGCGGAUGAGUCUGCAAGUUUUUAAAA